AUACCCGCUGAACUUAAGCAUAUCAAUAAGCGGAGGAAAAGAAACCAACAGGGAUUGCCCUAGUAACGGCGAGUGAAGCGGCAACAGCUCAAAUUUGAAAUCUGGCUUCGGCCCGAGUUGUAAUUUGUAGAGGAAACUUUUGGUGAGGCACCUUCUGAGUCCCUUGGAACAGGGCGCCAUAGAGGGUGAGAGCCCCGUAUAGUCGGAUGCCGAUCCAAUGUAAAGUUCCUUCGACGAGUCGAGUAGUUUGGGAAUGCUGCUCAAAAUGGGAGGUAAAUUUCUUCUAAAGCUAAAUAUAGGCCAGAGACCGAUAGCGCACAAGUAGAGUGAUCGAAAGAUGAAAAGCACUUUGAAAAGAGGGUUAAAUAGCACGUGAAAUUGUUGAAAGGGAAGCGUUUGUGACCAGACUUGCGCCGUUCCGAUCAUCCGGUGUUCUCACCGGUGCACUCGGGGCGGCUCAGGCCAGCAUCGGUUUUGGUGGGGGGAUAAAGGUCCAGGGAACGUAGCUCCUCCGGGAGUGUUAUAGCCCUGGGCGUAAUGCCCUCGCUGGGACCGAGGUUCGCGCAUCUGCAAGGAUGCUGGCGUAAUGGUCAUCAACGACCCGUCUUGAAACACGGACCAAGGAGUCAAGGUUUUGCGCGAGUGUUUGGGUGUAAAACCCGCACGCGUAAUGAAAGUGAACGUAGGUGAGAGCUUCGGCGCAUCAUCGACCGAUCCUGAUGUAUUCGGAUGGAUUUGAGUAAGAGCGUUAAGCCUUGGACCCGAAAGAUGGUGAACUAUGCUUGGAUAGGGUGAAGCCAGAGGAAACUCUGGUGGAGGCUCGCAGCGGUUCUGACGUGCAAAUCGAUCGUCAAAUCUGAGCAUGGGGGCGAAAGACUAAUCGAACCAUCUAGUAGCUGGUUACCGCCGAAGUUUCCCUCAGGAUAGCAGUGUUGUUCUUCAGUUUUAUGAGGUAAAGCGAAUGAUUAGGGACUCGGGGGCGCUUUUUAGCCUUCAUCCAUUCUCAAACUUUAAAUAUGUAAGAAGCUCUUGUUACUUAAUUGAACGUGAGCAUUCGAAUGUACCAACACUAGUGGGCCAUUUUUGGUAAGCAGAACUGGCG
rnacentral:rRNA from 2 species